CCUACGGGUGGCUGCAGUGGGGAAUCUUCCGCAAUGGACGAAAGUCUGACGGAGCAACGCCGCGUGAGUGAAGAAGGUUUUCGGAUCGUAAAGCUCUUUCGUCAGGGACGAACGUAUUUCUUGUAAAUAAUGAGAGAUAGUGACGGUACCUGAAUAAGAAGCCACGGCUAACUACGUGCCAGCAGCCGCGGUAAUACGUAGGUGGCAAGCGUUGUCCGGAAUUAUUGGGCGUAAAGCGCCCGCAGGCGGGUAAAAGUGCGAGGCUCAACCUCGUGAGGGGAGAGAAACUGGUAUUCUUGAGUGUCGGAGAGGAAAGUGGAAUUCCAAGUGUAGCGGUGAAAUGCGUAGAGAUUUGGAAGAACACCAGUGGCGAAGGCGACUUUCUGGACGAUGUCUGACGCUGAGGCGCGAAAGCUAGGGGAGCGAACGGGAUUAGAUACCCUAGUAGUC
rnacentral:rRNA from 1 species